rnacentral:rRNA from 1 species
CGCUGGCGGCGUGCUUAACACAUGCAAGUCGAACGAGAACGGAUUAUAGCUUGCUAUAAUUGUCAGCUAAGUGGCGCACGGGUGAGUAAUAUAUAGAUAACCUGCCCUCUAGAAAGGAAUAACAGUUGGAAACGACUGCUAAUGCCCUAUAUGCCUUUAAUACAUAAGUAUGCAAGGGAAACGCUUUAGUGCUAGAGGAUGGGUCUGUAUGGUAUCAGCUUGUUGGUGAGGUAAUGGCUUACCAAGACUAUGACACAUAACUGGUUUGAGAGGAUGAUCAGUCACACUGGAACUGAGACACGGUCCAGACUCCUACGGGAGGCAGCAGUGGGGAAUAUUGCACAAUGGACGAAAGUCUGAUGCAGCAACGCCGCGUGGAGGAUGACACAUUUCGGUGCGUAAACUCCUUUUAUAUGAGAAGAUAAUGACGGUAUUAUAUGAAUAAGCACCGGCUAACUCCGUG